rnacentral:lncRNA from 10 species
AGUAGCUGGGACCAUAUAAGCAUGCCAUCAGGCCCAACUAACUUAUUUUUGGUAGAGACAGGGUGUAUGUUGCCCAGGCUGGUCUCUGACUCCUGGGCUAGAGCGACUCCUCUUGCCUCAGCCUCCCAAAGUGCUGGGAUUACAGGUGCGAGCCACUGCACCUGGCCAAAAAGAUGAUUUUCUUUUUGAAAGUGUAUGGUGCCACUACCUGACUCACACUAAGGUGUGGUUUUAAUGGUCACUGCUUUUGCACCAUCAGUGCAAAAGUCAACACAGUGAAAAGGGCAGUAACUUCAGUGUAGGAAAAUACAUUUGACUCAUAGGCCCCUUGGAAAGACCCAGGACCCCGAGGGAUCCAUGGAGCAGACUUUGAAAACCAGUUUUAAUGUACAUAAACCAUUUAGAGCAGUGAUAGGGCACACACAUUUAUAUUUUUACUACCUUGUCGUGUUUUCCCCACUUUUCCUGCCCUUCAACACUUUCUCGGCCAUUUGCCUUUGGUCCCCACUUUUCUGGUGCUUUUAGAUGACCCCAUUCUGCCAAGACUGCCUGCAAGGAACACCUAGGUUGGAGAAACUUCUCCAUGCUUACAAAUUACUGAUUAGUCAGUUACUACCGUGUCACCUUCCUCUGGCCACACCCCCCAACCCUCAAUCUGUUGGAGCUGUUUCACCUAGAGAAAGAAAAUGAGAGUCAAGAAAUUCAGUCCAAUGUAACAGAGAGAUGGGCCUCUUAGCCCUCCCUGUGACAUUUGUGCCUCACAGCGGCUGCUUGCAGAGUUGACCCUCAUCUGAAUUCAACCAACCUCAGGUUGAGAACAUUCAGAGAAAAAAAUUGCAUCUGUACUGAACAUGUAGAUUUUUUCUUGUCAUUACUCCCUAAAUACAGUAUGACACUUACAUAUCAUUUAUAUUAGAUAUUAUGAAUAAUAGAGAUGAUUUAAAGUAUACAGGAGGAUGUAUGUUAUAUGCAAAUACCACGAUUUUUAUCAGGGACUUGAGCGUCCAUGAAAUCUGGCACCUACAGGACAUCCUGGAACUGCCCCCACAUAGAAAUUGAGUAGGCUGAAAUUAAAAACAGGACAUUUAACAAACCUCCAAUGAAUCUAGCAGGUGUAGAAAUCGGGAACCAGCAGUAAUACAUGGGGACUUACAUGGGAAUCUAGCCUUUGGGUCAAGCACCCUAAGUUGCUUUUGCUCCACAUGGGGAAGGAGAGGGUGUGGCCAAAGUACCAGCAAAAUAAAACUUGAGUGAUCUGGAACGUGAAAAAUAAAAGACAUCACGUGGAAGAGGUUUAUUACAAAUAAAUGAAACAAAAAUCAAAGGCUUGUGAAACAUCUCUAAGUCUUCCUGUUCAUUGACCAGUUUCUCAAUCACAAAAAACAGGAACGUCUGUGAGGUUCAAUUUUGGAAAGGGGGAUUGGUUUAGUGGCUCUUCUGAUACAACCACAGACCCCUCGGAUAAGACUGUGGUCCAAAGAAGGCUGCUGUAUGUUCUCUGUAGGCUAGACUCAGUCCUUGUAAAUAAACUCAGUUUAAAGCUUUCAAUACUCAACUGCAUAGUUCCAUAUAAACAUGAAAAUUAGGAAGAUUGCUAUUAGCACACAUUCCUAAAUCCACAGGAGUUAUUUAGCAAAACAUCCAAUGCAUGAAUGUAGAGAAAACACAAUGACCCAAAAGUUAAGACUGGUGAAUCUCCAGGUUCACAUGAGACGGUAACCCAAAUUCAUCACUUAACCAAAUUUAGACAAGAGUCACCAUUUCCUAAUUCUAGGAAAUCUGACUAGUUAAGGUGGCAUAACUAGUGAUAAAGUUCAUCAUGAGCUUUAUCAUCACAAUGCUAAGAAACAUUAUUUUAGAAAAUCUAGAGAAUCAUUAACAAGCAAAUAACAGAGUAGGGGAUGAGCUGGGCCACUCUGGGGUCAGACUGCCUGGGAUUGACCUGGCCCUACUACUUGCUGGUGGUGAGAUGCUGGCCAAUUAUGAGUACUCACCUGUAAGAUGUGAGCAGUAAGAAAGUGUAUCUGCCUCACUGGGUUGUCAGAACAGACAAUCCCGGUAGAGUUCUCGGAGCGUCUUGGCCCAUCACUGUUAGCUAGUUAAUACUUUAGUAAGUACAAUUAAUUUCAGUCACUCUAUCUGAACAUGGUAACUGCAAGAUUUCUCCCUUAUUUCCUGUAAUUUACUUUAACCUCCACUUCACUGUGUCCCUCUGAUAGGGAAACAAGUGGGUUCUGAACUGCCCUAAGCCUGUGCUGGUGGCCAGCUCUGCACAUGCUGGUCCUGAUUCUGUGUAUGAGCUGUGUUCAGGGUGGGGCCGGGGCCAGAGGAAAGCAAAGGCUCACAUGGGUCUCCAUCAGCCCUAAACAACACGCCAGGUUAGGCUGUGAGCAACCUAGUAACAGCACUUAAGGCAUCCCAUAAUUCUGUGGUGGACCCUCUACAAUCAAAUGGCCCACCCAUUUAGAUAGGAAGAGGAUCAAGCCCAUAUUCCUCUCAAUAUGAAAGUGCAUCUUGAGAGCUCCUGUUUAAGCUGUUAAAAUAGUCCCUACAGCUUAUUUUGAGAAAAAAAAAUCCACCCAAACCCCUUCAAUUAAGGCAGCAUUUAAUUACUGUUACAAUAAACGUUUCUUAAACCCGAAGAGAAGAUAAAGGUUGUUUAAACAGAUUCUUUUAAUACAAUGAAUACAAAAGCAGUUGAGAUGGUACCCCCACGAUUACACAGCUUUGAACAAGUGAAACUAUGGUUACCAAACAGCUAUUUUUAUUAUAGCAUCUACAGUGUCUGGAAAAGGAUGUAACAAUAAAUAACUGUAGAUGCAUCACGAGACAUCCAUUUACUUAAUCACAGAAGUGGAUCUUGCUACAUAGUUUUCUCAAUGUCUUCAUUCUUCAGAUUCUCCAGGCUUACGAAUGUCAUCAAUCUUCAAAAUCAUUCUAACCAUUUGUGUUGCAAGAGAUAUCUGUUGCUUUUUGCCAAUCAAGGUUUCUAUGACAUGCUGUUGCUUCAUAUCUGAAAAAUACAAGGACACUGAUUAUCCUAAAAUAGCAUACAAUAAACUAUCAAUAACC